UACGGGGGGGGCAAGCGUUGUUCGGAAUUACUGGGCGUAAAGGGCUCGUAGGUGGCCAACUAAGUCAGACGUGAAAUCCCUCGGCUUAACCGGGGAACUGCAUCUGAUACUGGAUGGCUUGAGAUUGGGAGAGGGAUGCGGAAUUCCAGGUGUAGCGGUGAGAUGCGUAGAUAUCUGGAGGAACACCGGUGGCGAAGGCGGCAUCCUGGACCAACACUGACACUGAGGAGCGAAAGCCAGGGGAGCAAACGGG
rnacentral:rRNA from 1 species